AAGAUACUAGUAAUAAAUAUUACACUGCCUUGUCAAGACAGAAUUGCUGGUUAGACCCCUGCGUCUCUUA
rnacentral:tRNA from 1 species